UACGGAGGAUCCAAGCGUUAUCCGGAAUCAUUGGGUUUAAAGGGUCCGUAGGCGGUUUUGUAAGUCAGUGGUGAAAGCCCAUCGCCCAACGGUGGAACGGCACUUGAUACUGCAAAACUUGAAUUAUUGGGAAGUAACUAGAAUAUGUAGUGUAGCGGUGAAAUGCUUAGAUAUUACAUGGAAUACCAAUUGCGAAGGCAGGUUACUAUCAAUAUAUUGACGCUGAUGGACGAAAGCGUGGGGAGCGAACAGG
rnacentral:rRNA from 1 species